rnacentral:rRNA from 1 species
ACACAUGCAAGUCGAACGGUCUCUUCGGAGAUAGUGGCGGACGGGUGAGUAACGCGUGAGAAAUGCCUUUAGAUUGGGGACAACAGUUGGAAACGACUGCUAAUACCGAAUGUGCCUUAGGGUGAAAGAUUUAUUGUCUAGAGAUUGGCUCGCGUCAGAUUAGCUAGUUGGAGUGGUAACGGCACACCAAGGCGACGAUCUGUACUUGGUCUGAGAGGAUGACCAGGCACACUGGAACUGAGACACGGUCCAGACUCCUACGGGAGGCAGCAGUGGGGAAUUUUCCGCAAUGGGCGAAAGCCUGACGGAGCAAUACCGCGUGAGGGAGGACGGCUUUUGGGUUGUAAACCUCUUUUAUCAGGGAAGAAUCGAUGACGGUACCUGAUGAAUCAGCAUCGGCUAACUCCGUGCCAGCAGCCGCGGUAAUACGGAGGAUGCAAGCGUUAUCCGGAAUUAUUGGGCGUAAAGCGUCCGUAGGUGGUUUAUCAAGUCUGCUGUCAAAGCGUGCGGCUUAACCGCAUAAGGGCAGUGGAAACUGAUGAACUAGAGUGCGAUAGGGGUAACAGGAAUUCCCAGUGUAGCGGUGAAAUGCGUAGAUAUUGGGAAGAACACCAGCGGCGAAAGCGUGUUACUGGGUCUGCACUGACACUGAGGGACGAAAGCUAGGGGAGCGAAAGGGAUUAGAUACCCCCAGU